rnacentral:rRNA from 1 species
GAAAGGCCGCGGUAUCCUAACUGUGCAAAGGUAGCAUAAUCAAUAGUUUUUUAAUUGAAGGCUUGUAUGAAGGGUUGGACAAAGAAUAAUCUGUUUUUAUUUUUUUUUUUGAAUUUAACUUUUAAGUGAAAAGGCUUAAAUAAAUUUAAGGGACGAUAAGACCCUAUAAAUCUUUAUAUUAUUUUGUUUUUUAGUAAAUAAUAAAGUAAAUAGUUUAAUAAAACAAAAAAUAUUUUGUUGGGGUGAUGAAAAUAUAAUUAUUAACUGUUUUAAAAUUUAAACAAAGUUGUUUGGUAGAAAUAAUAGAUCCUUUAUAUAGAUAAAAAAUUUAAGUUACUUUAGGGAUAACAGCGUUAUUUUUUUUGAGAGUUCAUAUCGAAAAAAAAGUUUGCGACCUCGAUGUUGAAUUAAAAGUUCUUUGUGGGGCAGGGGCCACAAAAGAAAGCGUCCGACUUUUAAAAUUUUNCGNGANCUGAG